AACGAACGCUGGCGGCGUGCUUAACACAUGCAAGUCGAACGGAAAGGCCCUGCUUUUGUGGGGUGCUCGAGUGGCGAACGGGUGAGUAACACGUGAGUAACCUGCCCUUGACUUUGGGAUAACUUCAGGAAACUGGGGCUAAUACCGGAUAGGAGCUCCUGCUGCAUGGUGGGGGUUGGAAAGUUUCGGCGGUUGGGGAUGGACUCGCGGCUUAUCAGCUUGUGGGUGGGGUAGUGGCUUACCAAGGCGCUGACGGGUAGCCGGCCUGAGAGGGUGACCGGCCACAUUGGGACUGAGAUACGGCCCAGACUCCUACGGGAGGCAGCAGUGGGGAAUAUUGCACAAUGGGCGGAAGCCUGAUGCAGCAACGCCGCGUGCGGGAUGACGGCCUUCGGGUUGUAAACCGCUUUCGCCUGUGACGAAGCGUGAGUGACGGUAAUGGGUAAAGAAGCACCGGCUAACUACGUGCCAGCCGCCGCAGUAAAAC
rnacentral:rRNA from 1 species